AGUAAUGUCUGGGAAACUGCCUGAUGGAGGGGGAUAACUACUGGAAACGGUAGCUAAUGCCGCAUAACGUCGCAAGACCAAAGAGGGGGACCUUAGGGCCUCUUGCCAUCGGAUGUGCCCAGAUGGGAUUAGCUAGUAGGUGGGGUAAUGGCUCACCUAGGCGACGAUCCCUAGCUGGUCUGAGAGGAUGACCAGCCACACUGGAACUGAGACACGGUCCAG
rnacentral:rRNA from 1 species